rnacentral:rRNA from 1 species
AAUCAACGCUGGCGGCGUGCCUCAGACAUGCAAGUCGAACGCGAAAUUUCCCUUCGGGGAGAAAGUAGAGUGGCGCACGGGUGAGUAACACGUAGGUAAUUUGCCUUUGGGUGGGGAAUAACUCAGGGAAACUUGAGCUAAUACCGCAUAAUGCAGCGGCUCGACAUCGAGACAGUUGUUAAAGCGGGGGAUUGGAGCAAUCCGACCUCGCGCCUAAAGAGAAGCCUGCGGCAGAUUAGCUGGUUGGUAAGGUAAUGGCUUACCAAGGCGACGAUCUGUAACCGGCCUGAGAGGGCGGUCGGUCACACUGACACUGACAUACGGGUCAGACUCCUACGGGAGGCAGCAGUCGGGAAUUUUGGGCAAUGGGCGCAAGCCUGACCCAGCAACGCCGCGUGAAGGAUGAAAUUUUUCGGAAUGUAAACUUCGCAAGAACAGGAAGAAUAAGUGUGGGACAAUACCCACAUGAUGACGGUACUGUUUGUAAGCUCCGGCUAACUCCGUGCC